UUACGGCCACAUCACAUUGAAACACCAGUUCUCGUACGAUCACAGAAGUUAAGCAACGUCGAACCUAGUCAGUACCUAAAUUGGGAGACCAUUUGGGAAUACCAGGUGCU